rnacentral:lncRNA from 1 species
GGGGAAUUUGCUUGGAGAGAUGGAAAUGGUGUUUUGAAUGCUCUUUCUCUCCUUAUCUUCUAACCUCUUGUCCUUUAUUGUCUCUUAUAGUUCAUUGUGUCCUGAAUCCCUGCUAGCAUCUUUGCGAAUUUUCCAGUUCUCAUGGAAGAAGUUCCUAUCGCUAACUUGGCUGUAGCAUGGACUUAAGACAACUUUACAUGUGCUCUGUGGUUCUGGACUCCUUGGGAAGCGCUGCCUAUGAAGUGAUACCUAAGAUCAGGAAGGGAGACCUUCCACUGAGGAAAGCACCCCUGGGUCUCUGCAUAUCUGAAGCUGUUUUUGCUGUUUCCGUGUUCCCCUCCAGUCUGUAACAGAAGUUGAUGUUCAACAGCUGCCUCAGGAUUAGCCUCUUAGAGCUAACACCCUGGUGAGAGGGGGAAGAGAAGGUUAC